GAACUUUCCAGAGAUUGGAUUGGUGCCUUCGGGAACUUAGAUACAGGUGCUGCAUGGCUGUCGUCAGCUCGUGUCGUGAGAUGUUGGGUUAAGUCCCGCAACGAGCGCAACCCUUUUCCUAUUUGCCAGCGGGUCAUGCCGGGAACUUUAAGGAUACUGCCAGUGACAAACUGGAGGAAGGCGGGGACGACGUCAAGUCAUCAUGGCCCUUACGGCCAGGGCUACACACGUGCUACAAUGGUCGGUACAAAGGGUUGCUACCUCGCGAGAGGAUGCUAAUCUCAAAAAGCCGAUCGUAGUCCGGAUCGCAGUCUGCAACUCGACUGCGUGAAGUCGGAAUCGCUAGUAAUCGCGGAUCAGAAUGCCGCGGUGAAUACGUUCCCGGGCCUUGUACACACCGCCCGUCACACCAUGGGAGUUUGUUGCACCAGAAGUAGGUAGUCUAACCGCAAGGAGGACGCUUACCACGGUGUGGCCGAUGACUGGGGUGAAGUCGUAACAAGGUAGGCGUAGAUGA
rnacentral:rRNA from 1 species